UACGGAAGGCAGCAGUGGGGAAUAUUGCACAAUGGGCGCAAGCCUGAUGCAGCCAUGCCGCGUGUAUGAAGAAGGCCUUCGGGUUGUAAAGUACUUUCAGCGGGGAGGAAGGCGGUGAAGUUAAUAGCUUCACCGAUUGACGUUACCCGCAGAAGAAGCACCGGCUAACUCCGUGCCAGCAGCCGCGGUAAUACGGAGGGUGCAAGCGUUAAUCGGAAUUACUGGGCGUAAAGCGCACGCAGGCGGUCUGUCAAGUCGGAUGUGAAAUCCCCGGGCUUAACCUGGGAACUGCAUUCGAAACUGGCAGGCUAGAGUCUUGUAGAGGGGGUAGAAUUCCAGGUGUAGCGGUGAAAUGCGUAGAGAUCUGGAGGAAUACCGGUGGCGAAGGCGGCCCCUGGGACAAAGACUGACGCUCAGGGUGCGAAAGCGUGGGGAGCAAACGAGGAUUAGGAUACC
rnacentral:rRNA from 1 species